rnacentral:rRNA from 1 species
UACGUAGGGUGCGAGCGUUUGUCCGGAAUUAUUGGGCGUAAAGAGCUUGUAGGCGGUUGUCGCGUCUGCUGUGAAAUCUCAAGGCUCAACCUUGAGCUUGCAGUGGGUACGGGCAGACUAGAGUGUGGUAGGGGAGACUGGAAUUCCUGGUGUAGCGGUGAAAUGCGCAGAUAUCAGGAGGAACACCGAUGGCGAAGGCGGUCUCU